AGUCGAACGCUGAUUUCGAGGUAGCAAUAUUUUGAAGUCGGAGUGGCGCAAGGGUGCGUAACACGUGGGCAAUUUGCCAUAAAGUUUGGGAUAAUCCCGCGAAAGCGGGACUAAUACCGGAUGUGAAUAUUGAGAGACAUCUCUUGAUAUUUAAAGUUGGGGACCGUAAGGCCUGACGCUUUAUGAUGAGCCCGCGGCCUAUCAGCUAGUUGGUGAGGUAACGGCCCACCAAGGCUUAGACGGGUAGCUGGUCUGAGAGGACGACCAGCCACACUGGAACUGAGACACGGUCCAGACACCUACGGGUGGCAGCAGUCGAGAAUUUUUCUCAAUGGGCGAAAGCCUGAAGGAGCGACGCCGCGUGGGGGAUGAAGGGCUUCGGUCUGUAAACCCCUGUCAUUUGCGAACAAACCUUCUCAUUGAAUAGGUGAGAAGCUGAUUGUAGUGAAAGAGGAAGGGACGGCUAACUCUGUGCCAGCAGCCGCGGUAAUACAGAGGUCCCAAGCGUUGUUCGGAUUCACUGGGCGUAAAGGGUGCGUAGGUGGCGAGGUAAGUUUGGUGUGAAAUCUCUGAGCUCAACUCAGAAACUGCAUUAAAUACUACUUUGCUGGAGGGUCGGAAGGGAGACUGGAAUUCUCGGUGUAGCGGUGAAAUGCGUAGAUAUCGAGAGGAACACCAGUGGCGAAAGCGAGUCUCUGGACGACUCCUGACACUGAGGCACGAAAGCUAGGGGAGCAAACAGGAUUAGAUACCCUGGUAGUCCUAGCCGUAAACGGUGCACAUUUGCCGUGAGAGGAAUCGACCCCUUUCGUGGCGCAGCCAACGCGUUAAAUGUGCCGCCUGGGAAGUACGGUCG
rnacentral:rRNA from 1 species